rnacentral:rRNA from 1 species
AGAUUGAACGCUGGCGGCAUGCCUUACACAUGCAAGUCGAACGGCAGCACGGGAGCAAUCCUGGUGGCGAGUGGCGAACGGGUGAGUAAUACAUCGGAACGUGCCCAGUUGUGGGGGAUAGCCCGGCGAAAGCCGGAUUAAUACCGCAUACGACCUACGGGUGAAAGCGGGGGAUCGCAAGACCUCGCGCUAUUGGAGCGGCCGAUGUCGGAUUAGCUUGUUGGUAAGGGUAAAGCCUACCAAGGCUACGAUCCGUAGCUGGUCUGAGAGGACGACCAGCCACACUGGGACUGAGACACGGCCCAGACUCCGUACGGGAGGCAGCGA